rnacentral:rRNA from 1 species
AGAGUUUGAUCCUGGCUCAGAACGAACGCUGGCGGCAGGCCUAACACAUGCAAGUCGAGCGCGCCUUCGGGUGAGCGGCGGACGGGUUAGUAACGCGUGGGAACGUGCCCUUCUCUACGGAAUAGCCUCUGGAAACGGAGAGUAAUACCGUAUACGCCCUUUGGGGGAAAGAUUUAUCGGAGAAGGAUCGGCCCGCGUUAGAUUAGGUAGUUGGUGGGGUAAUGGCCUACCAAGCCUACGAUCUAUAGCUGGUUUUAGAGGAUGAUCAGCCACACUGGGACUGAGACACGGCCCAGACUCCUACGGGAGGCAGCAGUAGGGAAUCUUGGACAAUGGGGGCAACCCUGAUCCAGCCAUGCCGCGUGAGUGAAGAAGGCCCUAGGGUCGUAAAGCUCUUUCGCCUGUGAUGAUAAUGACAGUAGCAGGUAAAAAAACCCCGGCUAACUCCGUGCCAGCAGCCGCGGUAAUACGGAGGGGGUUAGCGUUGUUCGGAAUUACUGGGCGUAAAGCGCGCGUAGGCGGAUUGGAAAGUUGGGGGUGAAAUCCCGGGGCUCAACCCCGGAACUGCCUUCAAAACUCCCAGUCUAGAGUUCGAGAGAGGUGAGUGGAAUUCCGAGUGUAGAGGUGAAAUUCGUAGAUAUUCGGAAGAACACCAGUGGCGAAGGCGGCUCACUGGCUCGAUACUGACGCUGAGGUGCGAAAGUGUGGGGAGCAAACAGGAUUAGAUACCCUGGUAGUCCACACCGUAAACGAUGAAAUGCCAGUCGUCGGAUAGUAUACUAUUUCGGUGACACACCUAACGGGAUUAAGCAUUCCGCCUGGGGAGUACGGUCGGCAAGAUUUAAACUCAAAGGAAUUGACGG